AGGGCUCCCCGCGCGACAGCAGCACCGGCCGGGCCGCGGCUGUGUCUGGGGGAGGGUGUCAGUGGAUGUCCGGAGAAAGGAUGCUCACCUGAGACACCCCGACAGAUUCCUGGGCUGGCUGGGAACUCCAGGAAAGGGUCUGAAGGACCUGUUUCUCGCUUCUCUUAUUAACGAGGAGAAAGUAUCCAGCCUGAAGGAGCAGCCUCUCUUCUGGAUAGACUGGAAAAAAGGAAAUGAAUUGGCAGAAACACACAAUGGCUCUCAAAGCUUCUGCCUGCUUCACACCCUCUCACGUGCUGUUGGCUAAAGCAAGUCACGUGCCAAACCAGUGACAAGGUCAUCUGAGUGCCCUGCAGGGGCCUCCAUCCAAUGUGAAUUAUGAGUCAGAUCUGGACCUGCCUGGGAGAGCACCUCGGAGACAGCACGGAACUGUUCAGAGAAGACUACCCGUCUGUUCUAGCGACCAGAGGGCACCUGGGUUAACUGCCCCCAAGAAAAAGGCCGGCACCCCAAGCCCUUCUGCUUUUUUUUUAAGGUAUGCUUUUUGGUGAGGAAGAUUGGCCCUGAGCUGACAUCUGUUGCCAACCUUCCUCUCCUUUUUUUUUUCCUCCCCAAAGCCCAGAACAUAGUUGUAUAUCCUAGG
rnacentral:lncRNA from 1 species